rnacentral:rRNA from 1 species
UACGGAGGGUGCAAGCGUUGUUCGGAUUUAUUGGGCGUAAAGCGCGUGUAGGCGGUUUCUUAAGUCUGAUGUGAAAGCCCUGGGCUCAACCCAGGAAGUGCAUUGGAUACUGGGAGACUUGAAUACGGGAGAGGGUAGUGGAAUUCCUAGUGUAGGAGUGAAAUCCGUAGAUAUUAGGAGGAACACCGGUGGCGAAGGCGGCUCUCUGGGACGGUACUGACGCUGAGACGCGAAAGCGUGGGGAGCGAACAGG